CUCCUCCCUCCCAACCAACCGAGGUUAUACUCACCCAUAUUACGCCCUUCCUGGCCCUGCAACCCGCUUCCUUCGUACGAUAGAUAUCCGCGAGUUAUAGAUAUAUAAUGUAUAUAUAUAUAUAUAUAUCCAGUAAGAUCCCCGCAACACUAGUAGUAUCAACCACCCCGAUUCUGAUUCCAAACGGUGGCUAUGAAUGAUGAAUGAGGAAUGAUUCCAAAUCCUGCCUGCCGGUGGAGAUGGGUUGCUGUCGACGGGGAGCGAUGUCCACUCAGGGGCAUCCGGCAACUCAAUCUCGUGAUUUGUAUGCUGCAUCUGUAUCUAUAUCUAUAUCUAUACCUGUAAAUACGCUGAGUAGUGUGAAUUGUACGGAGUAGGUAUCAUGGGAUCGAUCCUCUUCCACAACACAAAGUGGAGCUGAGUGGGAAUGUUUGGAUGCAGAAAGUGGCUCUGAGCCCAGCUCCACGUGGUCAAUCCCAUCAAGCCAUAAGCCAUAAGCCAUCAGCCAUCAGCAAUUAUUUUGCCUGCCGGAAAAAAAAAAACCGUUGAUUCUUUCUUCGGGGGCGUAUAACACGCCACACCUCUUCAACUAUCAGUCAGGGCGUGCUGUACACGCUAGCCGAACA
rnacentral:sRNA from 2 species